UGGGAAUCUUCCGCAAUGGGCGAAAGCCUGACGGAGCAACGCCGCGUGAGUGAAGAAGGUCUUCGGAUCGUAAAACUCUGUUAUUAGGGAAGAACAAAUGUCUAAGUAACUAUGCACGUCUUGACGGUACCUAAUCAGAAAGCCACGGCUAACUACGUGCCAGCAGCCGCGGUAAUACGCAGGCGGCAAGCGUUACCCGGAAUUACUGGGCGUAAAGCGCGCGUAGGCGGUUUUUUAAGGCUGAUGUGAAAGCCCACGGCUCAACCGUGGAGGGUCAUUGGAUACUGGUAAACUUGAAUGCAGAAGAGGAGAGUGGCAUUCCAUGUGUAGCGGUGAAAUGCGCAGAGAUAUGGAGGAACACCAGUGGCGAAGGCGACUUUCUGGUCAGAAAAUGACGCUGAUGUGCGAAAGCGUGGGGAUCAAACAGG
rnacentral:rRNA from 1 species